AUUUGAUGAUCAUGAUCUCUAUAGUUAAGAACACAUAAAAUAAGCACAUGCUAUUAAUGAGACAAAACGUGGAUGUAAAAGUGUAAUUCAAGAUGUAAAUCAGAUUCUCUGACAGUGCUAUUUGUACAUAUGAAAAAUGUUUAUCAGACAGCUUGGAAAAAGUUAAAUAAAUAAACAUUAUAUAAGCAUUUAUUUUAUAAAGCAUAAGAUGGAUGAUACUAUUUAUAGAAAGUUACUGCAUUGUCAAACAGUUAACGGUAUCAGUAAUUGUGAUUUGUUAGAGAUUUCUAUCGUUGAUUAAUACAAAGAACUGCACUUCUGAGUAAUCGAUUGCAAUUAUUGCGUUAUUAAAAAAUACGAAGAAAUCAAUCUAGCCAGUGAAAGCUGAUAUUUAUUGACACUAAUUAUCAGUGAAAAAUACUUUUCAAUCACAAAUUAUCAUUAUAUGAUUAUGACCGCACAUGAUAUUUCUCUGGAUGAUAAGUUAUCGAUUGAAAUUAAAACCAAGAGCAUUAUCUUCUUCCAAUUUAUUGUACAGAGAUCUUAGUUCAUACAAUAGGAAUUUUUCAUUUUGCAUUUAUCGCAGAGAGAACAGUCCAUUAAGUUGUGUUAUCUCUAUUGUGUUAUUGUUUACUAUGGAUAUUAUUAUUUUCUUAGAAACAAUUCUGUUCUCUAUUUAAAUUUGUAAAGUAGCUGAAGUCUAUUAUUACAAAUUUGUUUCUUAAAAGUGAAAAUUUAUUUUUCAAAAUAGCAAUGUUAAAUAUACAAUAUUUUGUAUUAAUUAUUUUCGUAAAAAUGCCUUAAUUUAAAGACAUAAGAAAACUUUUGUAUUAUAUUUCUACAAAAAGGCUACAUGCAGUAUGUUGCUCCUAUAUCAAACUAAAAAUUUGUUUAGAUUAAGAAUAGCUUGUAGAUGUAGAAUAGAUUAAGAAUAUGCGACUGUUUAUUAUAUUUUUUAGUAUAAAAUACUAUUUGUAAAGAAGAAUCGUAAAAGAGUUUUGUACAUAGCCACAUACAGAUAUCAGCUUAAAAUUGAAAGCACCUUUCCUACCCUUAAGAAACUCACCCCCGCAAUAUCUUGCAGUCUAAAAUGCCAGCCCCUGUGCACCAUUUAACAACUGAAAAAUUCCAGUUAAUAUCUGCGACGCCUUCUAAGAAAACUUGUGACGCUUUAUCUGUCCCACCCUAUAUAAUCUCGAGUCCUUCGAAAUAAUAAAAUGUGGAUGACUGUACACUAGGAAAAAAUGUUAAACAAACUCGAAUUCAGGUUAGUGUGCGUAAACGAGCUAACGAGCUGAACGAGUUAGCGUCUGAAAAACAAAACAAAUAACAGAUAGAUAACAGAUGUAGAUUUUUAAGAAGCUCAGCUUAACGCGAUGUUUCUUCUGGCGUACAUUUAAUAUUAAUAAUUUUUCAUCCCACAAGGAAGAUUAAAAAAACGGUGGAGUCUUCAGCAUCUGAAUCUGUACAAGAAUAUGAUCGAAGAUAGCUAUUUCGUACUUUAGAACUUGGAAGGAAUAUCAUUGAAGUGAUGGCAGUGAAGGACAAAUGUAAAUGACUGGAAAAAUUGAAUGCUACGAAACUGGAAUGUAUAACCUGAUUAAGAGAAAACACCCGCUUGGAAAAUAAGAAUAUGUAUAAAGUAUUCCUUGGAGCCAUAGUGUGGAAUAAUGAGAAAGAAGGAAGAAGGAGCGGUUAAAGUGACCGUAUUCAGGGUUUCAAUGUUUUAACAUAGGAACACUAUAUAUAGGGUGUCUUGGAAUACAAACAGGGUGUCACUCUACGUGUAUACAAAAAUAAGUCGAAUAAAUUGAUGAAUGAUCGAAAUGAGAAAGAAGGAAGUAAGGGCGGUUAAAGUGACCAUAUUUAUUUCAAUGUUUUAACAUAGGAACACUGUAUAUAGGGUGUCUUGGAAUACAAACAGGGUGUCACUCUAAGUGUAUACAAAAAUAAGUCGAAUAAAUUGAUGAAUAAUCGAAAUGAGAAAGAAGGAAGUAAGGGCGGUUGAAGUGACCAUAUUUAUUUCAAUGUUUUAACAUAGGAACACUAUAUAUAGGGUGUCUUGGAAUACAAACAGGGUGUCACUCUACGUGUAUACAAAAAUAAGUCGAAUAAAUUGAUGAAUGAUCGAAAUGAGAAAGAAGGAAGUAAGGGCGGUUAAAGUGACCAUAUUUAUUUCAAUGUUUUAACAUAGGAACACUGUAUAUAGGGUGUCUUGGAAUACAAACAGGGUGUCACUCUACGUGUAUACAAAAAUAAGUCGAAUAAAUUGAUGAAUAAUCGAAAUGAGAAAGAAGGAAGUAGGAGCGUUUAAAGCGACCAUAUUUAUUUCAAUGUUUUAACAUAGGAGCACUGUAUAUAGGGUGUCUUGGAAUACAAACAGGAUGUCACUCCACGUGUAUACAAAAAUAAGUCGAAUAAAUUGAUGAAUAAUCGAAAUGAGAAAGAAAGAAGCAGGAGCGUUUAAAAUGACCGUAUUCAUUUUAAUGUUUUAACAUAGGAACACUGUAUAUAGGGUGUCUUGGAAUACAAACAGGGUGUCACUCCACGUGUAUACAAAAAUAAGUCGAAUAAAUUGAUGAAUGAUCGAAAUGAGAAAGAAGGAAGAAGGAGCGGUUAAAGUAACCAUAUUUAUUUCAAUGUUUUAACAUAGGAACACUGUAUAUAGGGUGUCUUGGAAUACAAACAGGGUGUCACUCCACGUAUAUACAAAAAUAAGUCGAAUAAAUUGAUGAAUAAUCGAAAUGAGAAAGAAGGAAGUAGGAGCGGUUGAAGUGACCAUAUUUAUUUCAAUGUUUUAACAUAGGGACACUAUAUAUAGGGUGUCUUGGAAUACAAACAGGGUGUCACUCUACGUGUAUACAAAAAUAAGUCGAAUAAAUUGAUGAAUGAUCGAAAUGAGAAAGAAGGAAGAAGGAGCGGUUAAAGUAACCAUAUUUAUUUCAAUGUUUUAACAUAGGAACACUGUAUAUAGGGUGUCUUGGAAUACAAACAGGGUGUCACUCCACGUAUAUACAAAAAUAAGUCGAAUAAAUUGAUGAAUAAUCGAAAUGAGAAAGAAGGAAGUAGGAGCGGUUGAAGUGACCAUAUUUAUUUCAAUGUUUUAACAUAGGAGCACUGUAUAUAGGGUGUCUUGGAAUACAAACAGGGUGUCACUCCACGUGUAUACAAAAAUAAGUCGAAUAAAUUGAUGAAUGAUCGAAAUGAGAAAGAAGGAAGAAGGAGCGGUUAAAGUAACCAUAUUUAUUUCAAUGUUUUAACAUAGGAACACUGUAUAUAGGGUGUCUUGGAAUACAAACAGGGUGUCACUCUACGUGUAUACAAAAAUAAGUCGAAUAAAUUGAUGAAUAAUCGAAAUGAGAAAGAAGGAAGUAGGAGCGGUUGAAGUGACCAUAUUUAUUUCAAUGUUUUAACAUAGGAGCACUGUAUAUAGGGUGUCUUGGAAUACAAACAGGGUGUCACUCUACAUGUAUACAAAAAUAAGUCGAAUAAAUUGAUGAAUGAUCGAAAUGAGAAAGAAGGAAGCAGGAGCGUUUAAAGUAACCAUAUUUAUUUCAAUGUUUUAACAUAGGAACACUAUAUAUAGGGUGUCUUGGAAUACAAACAGGGUGUCACUCUACGUGUAUACAAAUAUAAGUCGAAUAAAUUUCUUCCUUCGACAUUUCGUUUCCGAGAAAGCCGAGCUCGAGGUAGCUAUCACCGGCACUUUGCUUAUUCUGCUAAUUGCACGAGCCCGAUUUUCUCAAAACUCAGGCCUGAAUCGACAGAAAUGUUCUUUUUAUGUAGCAUACGUGCGUAUAUAAAUAACUUCUUGUCUGAGCAUAUCAACUAUCUUAAGACACCCCGUAUCGUGUUCACGGUAAAGUGCCUCGUGCGCCUCUUUUCUUCUUCAGUUGCACCUUACGCGUCUAUAUUGUCAAGGAAACUCUGCGAUACGUAAUAAGGCGACUAAAGUCUGAGUACUCGAUGAGACUCAGGUAUUAUAAAUGUCAGAGCAAUGCAACGAUAGGUACAAAUACGUGUGAACAAUAGGGCUGCCAGAAUACCUAAGCAAAUAAGGAAAAGGUCAAAAGAUAAUAGCACGAGCAUAGUGUGGAGAGUUGGAAAAUUGGAAUAGGCACUGGGAGGAGAAAGUGGAGGAGGAGGAGGAGGAGGUGGUGGAAGGUGUGAUCUAUGCGGCGAGAUAAAUUCGAGGACCUAAUUCACUUAACAGGCAAUUAUAGGGAAACCAAAAGAGAUGUCAGGUCGGAAGACGUAGUGGGUAAAAGACAGGAUAGAAGGAUCGUGGAAUGAGUAGAGAAGCUGGAAAAGAAAAGAAAAGAAUAGAGGAAGGCAAGGUGCAAGCAGGCUAAAGAGAGUUUUAGUGAAAACGGUGGAAUAAUUGCAGACCUUGGUACGAAAACCGGGCAAACGCAGAUUUUACAAGUUGUGUGGAAUCGAAUAAAACUGAAUUAAUUAUGACUCGUUUAAACGAUUAAUAUUUUGGACUUAGAAAGGCAUUCGUGUGACGAAUGAUAUGAGAAAUGAUGCCUCUUAUAUUUUUGAAGAAUGCGAUUAAGAAAUCUUUUUCGAUAUUUCGAUUUGCCUGGCCCUUGCACGAAAAUACUGGGAAUUUAAAAUGAAAUAUUUUCUUCUUUCACGUCUUUAUUUUUCCUUGACUCUCUUCCAUGCUCCGCAAACAGUUCCUUAGAUAAACCACUGACAUCCGGCCGCCGUCUCUCGUUUGCACAUAUUUACUUCUCCAUGACUGAUACGAUUCUUGUUCGUCCGAACACAUUUCGAAUCUGCAAAGAAAAAAAAAACACGCGAUUAAUAGAAUUCGAAACAUUUUGGUUGACGAGUCAACACAAUCAUUGACGCUAUAUUUUAGAACAAAAGCCCAGGUGGGUCCUAGACAUAGCCGAUUCUUCUUCCCAAAGGUCACAAUGCAUAGGUGCAAAAAUUCUUAUGAACGCAUUGAGCUUGUCUGAUCUUUGCACCGAUCGAUCGACGAUGUAUAAAAAUAUAUGAAACUCGACAAGUACAAUUUUUGUAACAGGUGGACUCGCCUUAUUUUUGCACCAGGAUCUUCAAUUAUUAGUCACAGUAUGUCAGAGUGUGAACGGAAGAGAUAUAGAGAUAGAUAGAGAGAGAUAGAGAGUGAGAGAGAGAGAAAGAGAGAGAGAAUAAGACAUUUUUGUAAAUAAAGGUAUCUGCAUGUAUGUAAAUAAUGGUAUAUAUGUAAAUAUUAAAGGUAAUGUAAGUAUGUUCUUGGAAGUGAGGCUGAAUAAGCAUACAUGUAUAUGUAUUGAUAAAUGUAAAAGCACGUGUCUACUUUCUUCGGUACAUAUUUUCUUGCUUUUGUAAAGACGUAGGACGAGACAGACGUCAAAACGAAAAUGAAAACGAUUCAUGUAUGAAGAUACAGUUCGAAACUUAUUUUCCAAGUUAUUCACGAACCGAAACGAUGACGCGGGAUUGAGAUGCAUGAAGAAUGAAUCGAGUACUAUAUAUCUAUUAACAUUUUUAUAAAAUUGUUUACAAUAGCAAUUGGUAAACUGUGGUGCAGGAUCUUUGGUGGAGGUAACUGUUGGAGAUUUGCAAGUGAUUUUUCAAACUAAAAAUCUGUAGGCUUAGUUCUAUUUUGUUUUAUGUUUAUAAACCAUACAAAAUCAAGUCCAAUCUUUAUUGUGUUUAUUAUGUUUAUAAAUCACAUAAAAGAAGGCCAGCAGAGUGAAACGAAUUAAUGCAAUACGAACUAAAAUUUGUUAUUCAAUCUGAUUGUUACAAACGAGGGUACUUAACUAAAACUUACAAGUUUAGUUUUAGUUUUCAAACUAAAAAUAUGUAGGCUUGGUUCUAGUUUUGUUUUAUGUUUAUUAACCAUACAAAAUCAAGUCCAAUCUUUAUUGUGUUUAUUAUGUUUAUAAAUCACAUAAAAGAAGGCCAGCAGAGUGAAACGAAUUAAUGCAAUACGAACUAAAAUUUGUUAUUCAAUCUGAUUGUUACAAACGAGGGUACUUAACUAAAACUUACAAGUUUAGUUUUAGUUUUCAAACUAAAAAUAUGUAGGCUUGGUUCUAGUUUUGUUUUAUGUUUAUAAACCAUACAAAAUCAAGUCCAAUCUUUAUUGUGUUUAUUAUGUUUAUAAAUCACAUAAAAGAAGGCCAGCAGAGUGAAACGAAUUAAUGCAAUACGAACUAAAAUUUGUUAUUCAAUCUGAUUGUUACAAACGAGGGUACUUAACUAAAACUUACAAGUUUAGUUUUAGUUUUCAAACUAAAAAUAUGUAGGCUUGGUUCUAGUUUUGUUUUAUGUUUAUUAACCAUACAAAAUCAAGUCCAAUCUUUAUUGUGUUUAUUAUGUUUAUAAAUCACAUAAAAGAAGGCCAGCAGAGUGAAACGAAUUAAUGCAAUACGAACUAAAAUUUGUUAUUCAAUCUGAUUGUUACAAACGAGGGUACUUAACUAAAACUUACAAGUUUAGUUUUAGUUUUCAAACUAAAAAUAUGUAGGCUUGGUUCUAGUUUUGUUUUAUGUUUAUAAACCAUGUAAAACCAAGUCCAAUCUUUAAGUCAGCAGAGUUUUUUUUUUUUAAUAUUUAUUAAAAUUACAAUCAAUUCUCGCGUUGAGAAUUUUCAGUAGUUUUUCUGGCGUGACGCAGUAACAUGGCUAAUUAUUUAUAAUAAGUUAUUACUUAUUAUAGAUAAGUAUAAGGCCAGCAGUGUGAAAACAAUUGAUACAAUACGAACUAAAAUUUGUUUUCAAAUUGUGUUAUUCUGAUUGUUACAAACGUGGGUAAUUAACUAAAACUUACAAGUUUAGUUCUGUUUUUAGUUUUGUUCUAUAUUUGUAAAUCGCGUAAAGAAGAAAUCCAAUUUCUGGGCCAUCAGGCUCAAAGAAAUUAAUACAGUGCAAACUAAAAUUUGUUGUUCAAUUUCACCGCUACAAAUGAGUGUAUUUCAGGGAAUACGAUUCCCAGGGGAUACGAAUAUUAAUAUGGGUCUUGAAACAUCGAUUACCAAAAGAGUCGAUACGAUUCGAGCACUGAAUCGAGUGGAUUCGUUUAAUUACGUUGUAAACGAUUGUUGGCUUGAAUGAUAAAAUUUGAAUACUUACACUCGUAUAUGUAUCGUAAUUAAAAAAUUGUUACAGGUGUGUAUGCGUUGUGGAUAAAUGAGCAUGAUGCGUAUUAUUGUUUUGUAUUUAGGCGGGUGGAUUUUCACGUACGCUAGCAAAGCGAGAAUUAAAACAGCUUUAAAUUAAUUACAAGAUUUAUAGACACAGGUCGAAAAGAAUUUAUAUCGACUAGCAAAUUCUGUCGCGUUAAAAACUGAUCCGACAGGGAAUUUCAGCUCGAUCUCGUUAUACUUUGAGCCUUAUGAUUUUGUGGAAACGCACGAGUCUGAAAUUGGAAAAUUGUUUGUUUAGUUAGAUGUGGGAAUAUUUCUAUGAUACAGAAAUUAGCUAUUUUUUCGUUUAUAAAUAAAAGACUUGCGUAGCCUUUGUAUUUAGAAACGAUACUUUUGCAUGACGUAGUACGUUACUUUUGCUCUUUGUACAUUUAUUUAAAAUACAGAGCACGAAAAUUAAAUCUAUACGCCAGCGCUGAAAUAUUGUACAAUUUUUGUGUUGUUCCAAACUAUGAAACUCUGACGCGAAAUUAAUACUUAAUAUCACGUUUGAGUUUGGUUUUUUCCCCUUCAAAUUGUAUCGCUACUGUAUCGAAAUUUGCAACACGGACAAAAACAGGAAAUUUUGAAAAGUACAAAUUAAUUGAACGUUAUCUUAAUAUUAUCGAUGGAAAUUGCUUGAUUAUCGAUGGAAGAUUAAUUAAUUUGUUACAAAGAAAAUUUUUUAAUUGAACAUGCCGUUAUUUACUGUGUAUGAUUUUGCACGUAUUUUAGAAUAUAUUUUGUCAAAUAUUUUUAAUAAAGUUAGAUAUUUGAUAUUAACAUGGGCAAAUAGAAAAUAUAGAGAUGUGACCUAAAAAUAAGUCGCUUCCGUUUCUUUAUCUUUUUUUACACAUAUUAUGAAGAUGAAUAAUAAUAAUAUGAUAAAUUCGAUAAAAUGUGAUUCAUGUUAUUGUGCGCUGUGUAAUAUCUACUGCGGAUAAGUAAAAAGAUGAUUUCAACAUUUAGCCAACCAUUAUUUAGUACGUAAGAUGAGAUGAAAAUAUUGUUUUUCUUGUCCAAGUAAUUGUGUCAUCAAAAGUUCUAUGAUAGCUUCUACUUUGUAUUUAAAUGCACUUGCUGUUGGAACGACGGUUCAUCUCUCAAUUUCUGCAUGGAAUCAUCCGACUAAUUUAUAACUAUAAUUUAUAGUCACAAUUUUUAUUUAUAGACAAAUUGCUUAGAGAUAUAACAGAAAUUCUUUGACUUUUAAAUAUAAAAAUGAAAAAGUGGUAAAUAUCAUUUAAGUUGGAAAAUAUUUCUACAUUUAUUAUGCUUGUUAAAAAAUAAAUUAUCGAAAGAGAA